UACAGAGGUCUCAAGCGUUGUUCGGAUUCAUUGGGCGUAAAGGGUGCGUAGGCGGCGCGGUAAGUCGGGUGUGAAAGCCUUGAGCUCAACUCAAGAAAUGCACUCGGUACUGGGUGACUAGAGGACCGGAGAGGAUAGUGGAAUUCCCAGUGUAGUGGUGAAAUACGUAGAGAUUGGGAAGAACACCAGUGGCGAAGGCGGCUAUCUGGACGGUUUCUGACGCUAAGACGCGAAAGCGUGGGGAGCGAACAGG
rnacentral:rRNA from 1 species